rnacentral:tRNA from 1 species
GCCCGUUUAGCACAGUGGUAGUGCGUUCCACUCGUAAUGGAAAGGUCGCUUGUUCAAUCCAGGCAGGGGGCA